rnacentral:rRNA from 1 species
UACGGAGGGGGCGAGCGUUAUUCGGAAUUAUUGGGCGUAAAGGGCUCGUAGGCGGUCUGUCGCGUCGGGAGUGAAAACUCAGGGCUUAACCCUGAGCCUGCUUCCGAUACGGGCAGACUAGAGGUAUGCAGGGGAGAACGGAAUUCCUGGUGUAGCGGUGGAAUGCGCAGAUAUCAGGAGGAACACCGGUGGCGAAGGCGGUUCUCUGGGCAUUACCUGACACUGAGAGACGAAAGCCAGGGGAGCAAACGGG